GAGGAAGAGAGGCCAGGAUGUAUGGCAUGGACACAUGGAGGAAAGGCCCAGUGAGGGUACUGCAGGGUAGCCAUCUGCAAGCCAAAGGGAGCAGCCUGAGGAGAAACCACACCCACUGACCCCUUGAUCUUGAACUUCCAGCCUCCAAAACUAAUUGAUCAAGACAAGAAGAAAUUGAGAUUGAAUCACUCUAUGAGAGAGUGUGGCAUCUACAACUAUAUUUAAUGGGCCUUCUCCAGAAUGAUUAAACACAAAGUCACAGCAGAUAA